CAUGAGCAGCACGGACUGUUCAAAAUGACUGCGCCAGAAAGGGUGGAGAGAAACAUCAUAAGAACAGGAUAUGAACAGUGAUAUUCUUCCAGAAACCACUAAACGGAUUCCUAUUCCCGCGAUUAAAGAAACGAAAAAGAAACAAAUAUCAGGCAGAGAAAAAGCUGAAGGUUUGUGGUACUUGUAGAGUUACUUAGGAAUGAUCAUACACGCAGGCACCUCCGAUCAAGGAAAGACUGGACCUUGCAUCGACGGGUUAAACAAAAGAUGCUCUCAGCUUGACAAAGACAGGAAGACCGCUGAGCUGUGUGUAAAUAUCUGCUUGUCUACACGUCUUUCCCCCUGAAAUCUCCCUCGUGUUCUCCAGCUUUUAUCGUUAAAAAAUACAGUCAAGAACAAUGACAUUAAGCUGGUAAAUAAGUAACCAGAAUUUUACAGGGGGACAUGAACAAUGUUACAGUGUUAACAGCAUUAUUUUGUUGACCCUUUUAUAUUGGGUGGCAGUUCAAUAAUAAAAAUUACAUUACAUUUCCUAACAUAAAAACAUAUUUUCAUUUUAUAAAAUAAGCACUUUGCAUUUCCCAGAAAAAAAAUUAUUGUAUUAACUGUUUAGAAAAGUUUCAUAUGUCAAGUCACACCAACGCAAGCUUCAUGAAAGACGAAUUACAUUGUAAUCUUUAAAUAAGAUCAGUGUUUGUGUUUUGUAGUUAAAGUGAAUUACUAUGCCAUUUCCAGCUUUCUUUAUGGGACUAUGUAUCACUCUGCAUUCAUUAGCAGCAUAUCGUUUCCUUUGAAACACUGUGUACUUCACCAGUGAAACUGGGGAUUCUUAUGGUGAACAAUAUGCUUAUAUGUGACUGUCAAAGAUUCACAAGGUAAAUCCGUUCACCCGUCUUCCAGCCAUUUGUCCUGUACAGUGUUGGGGGCUUGGAGUGUAUACCAGACAGAACAGAGCACAAGGCAGACAAACACCCUGAAUGGGAAGCCUCAUACAGUAGUUACCAAAUCCCCUAUAAGUGUGUGUUUUUUUCAGUAUCUCCCUCAUCAGACCUUACUUGAUUUUCUUCUUCUGCUCAGGACUUUAUGGACCGUCACGGCUGCUCUUCCUCAGCACACGGCUGUCUGGUUCUGCUAUAGUUCCUGAGCCGUGUAUUGUUCCUGAUAUAGAGCUUUUUGGUGGGAAAAAGAGAGCUACCCCACAUUUCAGAUUUUUUUUCUUCAGUUUUUCAGUCAUUCAGCCCAUUUCCUCUGCAGGAUUACAGCUCUUCCUGCCAUUGCCCACAGUGUCACACACACGCUUCCUGGUUUUUUCUACAAAUGGCAUGCAGACUUGAGAGAAUGCUGGGCGAUGCUGUCUUAAUCGGUAUUCAUUUCUCUCUUUGGCUCUUUGACCCUAUGAUCUAUUUUGAUUUGUUUUUGGAAAGAAAUGCUUUUUCAGAACUUAAGCAAUGUGUUGUAAAUCAGAUGAAAUACUCCGGUGGUUUCAUUGUGUGGCACUAUCACAAUCUCAGUGAAUAAUGCUGUAUACCAUGUGAAUAUUUUUAAAGAAUGCAUUUUCACGAAGUAUGUCUUUGAAAUGAAAACCCAAAAUUGUGCUUAGUCUUUAAAUGACAUCAUGGCCUUUUUAUUUGCAAGAACAAUUGGCUUCUUCCUGAACUUCCUGCACAACAGUAUUUUUCGGUACUUUAUUUUUUGGUUUUGCUGUGACUAGAACACAAGCCAUGCUAUAAAGUAUAAAGUAAAAAAAAACUGAAAAGGGCUGGUAAAAUUACCAGAAUAACACAAAGUAUGAUAAUAAAAAUAUUAGCCAUAAUAAAUAUGAGGAUUUACUAUGAAUGGCUACCAAUGGCUGGAUAGUAACACUUUACUUAGAGGCACAAAUACUUAGUAAUAACUCAGUUACUACUGAAGUACAAAUCAUAAACAAAUAUAGUAACAAACAUAGUGCUUGAGAUAAAACUUGUGCCACGAUUCAUUACUAAUGAAUUAACAUGAGAUCAGUAUGUAACUCAGACUUAGUUUGUGGUUAAUUAAUACAUUAAGUAAUAGCAUAAUACUAUAUUAUUUUUGCCCCAUCAAGUAAAGUGUUACUGGCUAGAUGAAUUUAUUGUCUUAGUUUUCAUACCAAUAAAAAAAUACUGAACUACACACAGGAGCAAAACCCACAGGAUUAUCGGAAUUCUUAAAACGUCAACAUGAGUUGAUACAGCUAAAACCAAUUAAUACUAUUUUCUUCAAUGAUGAACCUCAGUUCUGUAUUUCUUGCUUAUUGAGUUUACGUUAAACAAAUAACAGUUCAAGUGGAUUUUAUCUAGGUUUCUUUAACAUAUAGUAUCAGCACAAAAUACUGUCAUAGCCUUUGAACAUAAAAUAAAAAUCUUUCUGGUUAUAAGCUUGUGAUUUCAACAAGAAGGAAAGUGCUCUAUGCAGUAUAUAUACUAAAUAAAUCUACGAUAAUGUAU